AAAGGUAUAAUUCUCCUCCAAGACUGAGGAUGUUCUCUGACAGCAGCUGCAUCCAUGUUAAUGGUGAUACUUAAAUGUUCCCUAAAGAGUUAAACAUGUACCCUAAUUCUCUACAAGAUACAAUGCAUUUUAUGGUUGUGUCAAACAUUCUGAUGAUUACUGUGAUGAUCACAAAGUGAAAAAGAUCAUCGGGAUAUUAAAGCAGCAGCUACAGUUCUAAAGAAUAUGUGUUAAUUUCAUCUGUAAGCACCAGCUUUCAAGCCACUUAGCAAAUCUUUUUUGUGGUGAAAUCCUGUAUUAUUUAUAGCAUUUCUACUUUGAGAAGCAUUUUAUUUUUUAGGAAUGAAUUUUUAAUGUCUAAUAUCUGCAAAAGUCAACAUUAUGAAUAACUGAAAAGAAGAUGACAUAAGAAAUACAAUAAAGUCAGCAAGUAAGAAAGAAUAGCACCAUU
rnacentral:lncRNA from 1 species